rnacentral:rRNA from 1 species
AGCGAACGCUGGCGGCAGGCUUAACACAUGCAAGUCGAACGCACCUUUCGGGGUGAGUGGCAGACGGGUGAGUAACGCGUGGGAAUCUACCCUUCUCUACGGGAUAGCUCCGGGAAACUGGAAUUAAUACCGUAUACGUCCUGAGGGAGAAAGAUUUAUCGGGGAAGGAUGAGCCCGCGUUGGAUUAGCUAGUUGGUGGGGUAAAGGCCUACCAAGGCGACGAUCCAUAGCUGGUCUAAGAGGAUGAUCAGCCACAUUGGGACUGAGACACGGCCCAAACUCCUACGGGAGGCAGCAGUGGGGAAUAUUGGACAAUGGGCGCAAGCCUGAUCCAGCCAUGCCGCGUGAGUGAUGAAGGCCCUAGGGUUGUAAAGCUCUUUCAGUGGGGACGAUAAUGACGGUACCCACAGAAGAAGCCCCGGCUAACUUCGUGCCAGCCGCCGCUGUAAGAC